AUUGAACGCUGGCGGCAGGCCUAACACAUGCAAGUCGAGCGGAAACGAGUUAUCUGAACCUUCGGGGAACGAUAACGGCGUCGAGCGGCGGACGGGUGAGCAAUGCCUAGGAAAUUGCCCUGAUGUGGGGGAUAACCAUUGGAAACGAUGGCUAAUACCGCAUGAUGCCUACGGGCCAAAGAGGGGGACCUUCGGGCCUCUCGCGUCAGGAUAUGCCUAGGUGGGAUUAGCUAGUUGGUGAGGUAAGGGCUCACCAAGGCAACGAUCCCUAGCUGGUCUGAGAGGAUGAUCAGCCACACUGGAACUGAGACACGGUCCAGACUCCUACGGGAGGCAGCAGUGGGGAAUAUUGCACAAUGGGCGCAAGCCUGAUGCAGCCAUGCCGCGUGUAUGAAGAAGGCCUUCGGGUUGUAAAGUACUUUCAGUCGUGAGGAAGGCGUUGUCGUUAAUAGCGGCAUCGUUUGACGUUAGCGACAGAAGAAGCACCGGCUAACUCCGUGCCAGCAGCCGCGGUAAUACGGAGGGUGCGAGCGUUAAUCGGAAUUACUGGGCGUAAAGCGCAUGCAGGUGGUUUGUUAAGUCAGAUGUGAAAGCCCGGGGCUCAACCUCGGAAUAGCAUUUGAAACUGGCAGACUAGAGUACUGUAGAGGGGGGUAGAAUUUCAGGUGUAGCGGUGAAAUGCGUAGAGAUCUGAAGGAAUACCGGUGGCGAAGGCGGCCCCCUGGGACAGAUACUUGACACUCAGAUGCGAAAGCGUGGGGGAGCAAACAGG
rnacentral:rRNA from 1 species